rnacentral:tRNA from 1 species
GCACCAAUAGCUCAGCUGGAUAGAGCACCAGACUACGAAUCUGGGGGGUAGAGGUUCGAAUCCUUUCGGGCGCG